AUUGAACGCUGGCGGCAGGCCUAACACAUGCAAGUCGAGCGAGCGGCGGACGGGUGAGUAAUGUCUGGGAAACCGCCUGAUGGAGGGGGAUAACUACUGGAAACGGUAGCUAAUACUGCAUACCAUCAGAUGUGCCCAGAUGGGAUUAGCUAGUGGGUGGGGUAAUGGCUCACCUAGGCGGCGAUCCCUAGCUGGUCUGAGAGGAUGACCAGCCACACUGGACCUGAAACACGGUCCGGACUCCUACGGGAGGCAGCAGUGGGGAAUAUUGCACAAUGGGGGCAGGCCUGAUGCAGCCAUGCCGCGUGUGUGAGGAAGGCCUUGGGGUUGUAAAGCACUUUCAGCGGGGAGACGUUACCGGCAGAGAAAGCAACGGCUAACUCCGUGCCAGCAGCCGCGGUAAUUC
rnacentral:rRNA from 1 species